AUUGAACGCUGGCGGCAGGCCUAACACAUGCAAGUCGAGCGACAGCGGGAAAGUAGCUUGCUACUUUUGCCGGCGAGCGGCGGACGGGUGAGUAAUGCCUGGGAAAUUGCCCAGUCGAGGGGGAUAACAGUUGGAAACGACUGCUAAUACCGCAUACGCCCUACGGGGGAAAGCAGGGGACCUUCGGGCCUUGCGCGAUUGGGUAUGCCCAGGUGGGAUUAGCUAGUUGGUGAGGUAAUGGCUCACCAAGGCGACGAUCCCUAGCUGGUCUGAGAGGAUGAUCAGCCACACUGGAACUGAGACACGGUCCAGACUCCUACGGGAGGCAGCAGUGGGGAAUAUUGCACAAUGGGGGAAACCCUGAUGCAGCCAUGCCGCGUGUGUGAAGAAGGCCUUCGGGUUGUAAAGCACUUUCAGCGAGGAGGAAAGGUUGGUGCCUAAUACGUAUCAACUGUGACGUUACUCGCAGAAGAAGCACCGGCUAACUCCGUGCCAGCCGCCGCGGUAAGAC
rnacentral:rRNA from 1 species